GCAGAAAUCACGCAGACUCUGAUUCCCGCCGAGAACCAGGCUAAAGAACCACUCAUGGCAAGACGGGGGCCCACCGGCCUGCUGGCUCCUCACCAAACUCUACUCCUCAUUGACUGUGGGCUCUUGUUCUAGAGGUCCCCGCAUCCUCAGGAUGAAAUUAUCCCAGCCUUUACACCCUCACUCAACUUCUUCUGGCAUGGACAUGCUCAGCAUUGCCACACUUGCUAAUAAAGCCUCUGAUUCAACAGAAAUCUGGAAGUGUUCACAGCUUGGCCCAGAGAAGAUCGUUUUAAAUCUACAGCUUUAAAAUGUGGUUGAAAAGGAGCCCAGGUUGGAUCCUGCCAGCAGGUCCGCUGGCCGCUGUUACCUCCCCACUGUCAAUGCCCAGGUCUCUGCCUCCAGCCCUGUUUCAGCCUGUCCUGGAGGAUUUGCUUCACCUCAUUUACUGAGCCUGCCACAGAUUCAUUACCUGGCAUCAGAGCUCCCCUCUCACUGCGCCUGCCCAGAGGGGUGCCAGCAUACCAGCCAGAUGCUGCUGGAGGGACUCCACAAUAAAGCCUGGCUAUUAAAGACUUCAACAGUCUCAUAAAGUCACUUUGCCAGCUGUAGAGCACACAAGUGCCCGCAGAUCCAAGCCUCCUUCCUUCCCCAAAGAAACACCUUGGAUAAAGCCUUGGGAUAUCAUCCAUUAGCACACAGCUCCAGGCACCACAUGAAUUCCCUUACACCAGCACAUGGUCUCUAUUUCCUGUUCAUUCACUUUGGAAGACAGUCCUUGAAAUGACAAGGCCUGGAGUGUCUUGUACAACCACCGCCAAUCCGGUUUCCAGCAGAGGCUUGUGGGCUAGGGAGUGUAUCGACUUGUAUUGUUAAAGGAA